ACCAGGCCGUAGAUGAAAAUAUAAAAGCUACUGAAAAUGGACUCCCCUUUUUCUCAUAGUCAUAAAGUAUGUGUUCUUUACUCAUAGGGCAAAUCCUGGGCCUCAUUCUCCCAAAGCUACUAAAUCAGAACACCUGGGAGUGUGACCCAAGAACCUGCAUUUAAACUAGCUCACCAGUGAAAUGGGGAUCAAGGGCAGCUUCCCCAGACCCAGCUGAGCCCUGGUUUUCUGUACACUUCUCCCUGAGAUACACGUUGCACACUGUGAAACAAAGGUUGAAUGAGACAAAAAAUUUCAAGGGUUCUUCAGGGAAAGGAAAAGCAUCAGAAGCUGAAAGGAUUCAGAAUGCACCUUUCACCAGAGCGUGAAGUAUAAACAAAUUCUAGAUCCAGUUCCUAGGAAGACUCAUUGCUGAGACAAAAAGCCUGGCAACUUCCCAAUUUGCAAUUGGGUAUAAAAAUAGCAGAGUUUCUAUUUCAGAUGAUCUGUUUCUCCCCAGGAUUCUUAAGGACAAGGAGCCACUGAAUGGACAUUUUGAUGUUUCAUUCUUUCCUUUGGAAUAUCUGUGAUGGCAAAACCUGUGAAGGCUGUUUGGAUUCUGUUUUGCUUCAGCGGCCGUGCUCUGCAAGUAAAAUUAUUUUGAAGCCACUUGCAAAUCAAAGAUUCAAAUGUAAUAGACCACAAAAGUAUAUUGCCAAUUUACCCUUUUCCAGGAGGUUAAUCAAUUAUAAAAGAGACAUUAAACCCUGCUACUCACCUAGAGGGGAAGGUUAUUUGCAGGGCUUUUUAAACUUAGUUACAGCCACUAAGGAUUCAUCAGACCCUUACUCCUUACUAAAUGUAGUUGGAAAAACUAAGUCUUUCAAUUUGAGUAUGCUCUCCACUCCUUUAAAGGGAGUUUGAAUAGCUUAAAUACAUCCAGCAAGAACACAGUAUGGUAUAAAGAGUAAAACUGCAUACAUCUCUGGUCAGGGUUGGAUCUGGGUUUCGGGAGCCUAAAGCUUACAAACUUAAGGACUCUCUUAAAAAAAAAUACAAUUAGAUCCAAAAAUAAACAUUUAGAAUGAGAAAGAUGAUAAAUUACUGAAGCCUAGAAGCCUAGGAAAUGCAGAUCCUUCUGA
rnacentral:lncRNA from 1 species